GAGCUGCUGGACGGGGCGUUGCCGAGGAGUGGGGAGAGCCAAUAACAGGCUAGUGUUAUGGACCACCUGAGUUUACAGGUGAAGGGAGCAGUGAAGAGGGGGAGGGGCAGGAGUGUAACACAGAACCAAUAUUAUUCUACUAAAGCAUCCUCAUCAGUUGAUAGUUACUAACAGUCUCUCUGUGGGAAGUAUAGAGCAGUGUACCCACCUACACACACAGACACACACACAUACACUCAGAAGAGGUACACACCCAGAAAUGGAAUGGGCAGAACAGACAUAGUUCUAAAUUCCACAUGAUUUCAUAUUUACUGAAUUGAAUUGUACAUGUUGCAUAUCAAAUUUAAUUCUGCACACCCAUAGAACAACGAGUCCACAUAUUAUAGAACCUUUACUUGGAGUGGAAAAGUCCAUUUGACCCAUUCUAAUUCUAUGGGACAGAGCCAGGUACACUGCUGUCUAUUUUAGAGACAGGCUUGGGGAAAGAUACAGUGAAAACAACCUCUGUGUGAAAGUUAGACACAUAACAGACAGACACAGAGACAGUGCUGCAGUUCAUUAGGUAGAUACUGUAGAGAAGGUGUUCCCAGUGGAGAACAGAGACUGUGUUCCUACAGGUGUCUUUGGGUGAAGAGGAAGCAGAACAUUUGUAGUCUGCUGUGUCCAGAGAAGAUGUGUUGGUGGGUAGAGACCUUACUCUACUGUCCAGAGUGUGAGUUUUGGUUUGGGGACAGAAGAGGUGCAGAGUGGGGGUGAGAUGAGGGUCACUCUCCGAUUCCAAAACACGGAUGGGAGAAUGCCUUGAGGAGGACUGGCGGAAUUGUUUUGGUUUGGGGACAGAAGAGGUGCAGAGUGGGGGUGAGAUGAGGGUCACUCUCCGAUUCCAAAACACGGAUGGGAGAAUGCCUUGAGGAGGACUGGCGGAAUUGGUCAGCGUGGCACCUGCAUCUGCUGCGUGGUCUGUGAUUGGCUCUGCCCUGUGACGUCGGACCCGCGGCUGGCCAAUCGGCUGAGGAUGUUCCUCUCCGACAUCUGCAGCCUCACGGCGACGGGAGGUA
rnacentral:lncRNA from 13 species